GCGGGAGUAGCUCAAUUGGUAGAGUUUCAGCCUUCCAAGCUGACUGUUGCGGGUUCGAAUCCCGUCUCCCGCU
rnacentral:tRNA from 1 species